rnacentral:rRNA from 1 species
GAUAAACGCUGGCGGCGUGCCUAACACAUGCAAGUCGAACGCGCUUUCUCGCAUGCUUCGUUAAGAAGCGAGCAAGAGAGCGAGUGGCGGACGGGUGAGUAACACAUGGGUCACCUACCUUUCAGUGAGGAAUACCGACGAGAAAUCGUCGACAAGACCGCAUAUGCUCUUUGCAAAGAGAGCAAAGUCCUUUCGCAAGAAGGGACGCUGGAAGAUGGGCCNGUGGCCGAUUAGCUAGUUGGUAGGGUAAUGGCCUACCAAGGCGACGAUCGGUAGCUGGUCUGAGAGGACGAUCAGCCACACUGGGGUUGAGAACGGCCCAGACUCCUACGGGAGCAGCAGUGGGGAAUCUUGCGCAAUGGGCGAAAGCCUGACGCAGCGACGCCGCGUGAGGGAU